rnacentral:rRNA from 1 species
CCUACGGGUGGCAGCAGUGAGGAAUAUUGGUCAAUGGACGCAAGUCUGAACCAGCCACGCCGCGUGCAGGAAGACGGCUCUAUGAGUUGUAAACUGCUUUUGUACGAGGGUAAACGCAGAUACGCGUAUCUGUCUGAAAGUAUCGUACGAAUAAGGAUCGGCUAACUCCGUGCCAGCAGCCGCGGUAAUACGGAGGAUUCAAGCGUUAUCCGGAUUUAUUGGGUUUAAAGGGUGUGUAGGCGGUCGGAUAAGUUAGAGGGGAAAUCCCGAGGCUCAACUUCGGAAUUGCCUGUGAUACUGUUCGGCUAGAGAGUAGUAGCGGUAGGCGGAAUGUAUGGUGUAGCGGUGAAAUGCAUAGAGAUCAUACAGAACACCGAUUGCGAAGGCAGCUUACCAAGCUACUUCUGACGUUGAGGCACGAAAGCGUGGGGAGCAAACAGGAUUAGAUACCCCUGUAGUC